UACGGAGGGGGCUAGCGUUGUUCGGAAUCACUGGGCGUAAAGGGCGCGUAGGCGGCUGUUCAAGUCGGGGGUGAAAUCCCGUGGCUCAACCACGGAAUGGCCUUCGAUACUGGACGGCUCGAGACCGGAAGAGGUGAGUGGAACUGCGAGUGUAGAGGUGAAAUUCGUAGAUAUUCGCAAGAACACCAGUGGCGAAGGCGGCUCACUGGCCCGGUACUGACGCUGAGGUGCGAAAGCGUGGGGAGCAAACAGG
rnacentral:rRNA from 1 species